GCCCGGAGCGCGGUGCCUGGGGCCACGCAGGGCGCAGGCUUUGGGCUCACUGACCGUCGCCCGGCGCUGAAGUGUCUUCGAGGUUCCGUUCCUGAGCCUUCCGGAUCCAAGCCGAGCACGGGGUCGCCCCCUUUUGCCAGGUGCGCGCAUCGCGUCGGCUCCCGGCUCGCUGGGCUCCGGGCGCGCGCCACCGCGGCGGAAAGAGGGAGCGAGGAGGGGGAAGCGGCGCCCUGACGCUGCCACGCCGCCGCCACCCCACCCCCAUCGAAAUCCCGGGCCACCGCAGCAAUCCGAGAAGGUCCCCGAGGAAGCGAAGCGCCGCGGCCGGGCCUGCAGCCGGCGGGGAGACGCGGAGGACGCGAGCCGGAAGGAACUGCGGCCCCCGCGCUGCCCCCACCGCCGCGGCCGUGUCCUCGGCCGCCCACCCCCGAGCCGGGUGACGCGGGCUGGGACAGCCGGGGGCCGCCGUGCUCCCCUCCCCCAGCGUUCCCUCCCGAAAUCACGCCGUUCCCUCGCUGGGGGGAGCGGGGGGCGGGGCUGAGCUGCAAACGCGCUUUCUGGGGUUGAAAUACCCAGAUGCCCGCAGACCUGGCGGACGCGAAUUCCCAGCCCCCCACCCCCUCCCCAGGACAGCGGUAUUUGGCGUUCAGUGCAAUUGCCUGAGAGAACGCGUGAUCCUGCCGAGUAUUCGGGAUUCGUCCGCACAGAGAUCUACGCGCCCGGCCGAGACCUAAGCUUCCCCCGAGCGUGACCUCAGCUGGCUGCUCCGCGCGGAGCCCCACGACGGCGACUUCCCUGGCAGCCUCCGUCCUACCUACUCAUCACCUAGUCCUCUGGAAGCGAGGGGUGCCGCGGGUUGCGUCCAGAUCUAGCUGGACGCUGGCGAGAAGCUGCCAACCAAACAGAAUGUUGUCACGCUCAGACACCGAAGCCCUGACCGCUGGUAGGGCUGAGUGCACGGUGUCCCUUCGCCCCUAGGGAGGCUGAACACGCUCCGCCAGCGCCCUAACCUCUGUUAGGGGAAGAAUCUCGGAGUUACCUGCCCCGGUAGCAACAGGCAGCGGGUGAGCCGAUCUAGGAUUACUUAAAAGACUCUCUUCUGCAGGGUAAGCCAACCGCAUAGCACCCCCCCCCCCACCCCCUUGGUUCUUUGGCUUUGUCCUGGGUCACCUCCAGGUUGUGGAACCAGCUCACGGGUAUGUUGGGCUUUAUUUGCUGGAUGUCUCUUUGGAACACGCUUUUCCUGGCACAGCCUAGACUGGAGUGGCUAAGGGGCGGCGUCAGGUAGUCUCUGAUCCUAAGUCAGAGUCUGGUGAACACUAGCUGUCAAUCACCCGACUUAACACUGAGCACAGCCUGUUUGGAGCCUAGAACCGUUUAGACCGGAAAGGACUCCGAACUUUUGGGGUCCUGUCUCAGGAAUUCGGAUCGGCUGAAGACAGACUGGGAAGGGCUUACAUUAAACUAAAAAGAAAAGUGUUGUAUAUGUGGGCUCGGGUACUUUUACAAAUUAUUUUUGAGCCAUCCUAUCAAUAUUCUGGAAUAUCAUUUGUUUCCACAGAUUCUUCCUCUGUUGUCUUAAAGAGGUUAAGUUACUUGCCCAAGGUCACACGGUUAGUAAAGCACAGUUAGGCUCUGAAGACCGAGGUCUCUAACAACCAAAACUUAUGUCCAGUUUUCACCAUGCUACACAGAAAAAUAAUGAAAUCGAGGGGCGAAGCAUGAGAAUUUUCAAGCAAUAAUUAAAAGAGGAAAGGAAUCAGGAGGAAGUGGACAGAAAAAAUGUCAUGCAAAGUAAACCAGUAAGUCUACUAUUCAAAGGAAAAAAAAAAAAAAAAACAACAGAAACCAAAC